UACGUAGGUGGCAAGCGUUGUCCGGAUUUAUUGGGUUUAAAGGGUGCGUAGGCGGUCUUAUAAGUCAGUGCUGAAAUAUCCCGGCUUAACCGGGAGGGUGGCAUUGAUACUGUAGGACUUGAGUAGAGUUGAGGUUGGCGGAAUUGACGGUGUAGCGGUGAAAUGCUUAGAUAUCGUCAAGAACACCGAUAGUGAAGACAGCUAACUAAGCUCUAACUGACGCUGAGGCACGAAAAGUGUGGGGGAUCAAACAGG
rnacentral:rRNA from 1 species